rnacentral:snoRNA from 1 species
AACUCACAAUUAUAAGUAGUGUGCUACAUGAGGGGCAAAUCUUUCACUAACACCACAAGGGUCUCUGGCCCAAAUGAAUACAAUUUGAUAGUAAUUCUUGCUACAAAU